AACGAACGCUGGCGGCAGGCUUAACACAUGCAAGUCGAGCGCCCCGCAAGGGGAGCGGCAGACGGGUGAGUAACGCGUGGGAACGUACCCUUUACUACGGAACAACUCCGGGAAACUGGAGCUAAUACCGUAUGUGCCCUUUGGGGGAAAGAUUUAUCGGUAAAGGAUCGGCCCGCGUUGGGUUAGCUAGUUGGUGGGGUAAAGGCCUACCAAGGCGACGAUCCAUAGCUGGUCUGAGAGGAUGAUCAGCCACAUUGGGACUGAGACACGGCCCAAACUCCUACGGGAGGCAGCAGUGGGGAAUAUUGGACAAUGGGCGCAAGCCUGAUCCAGCCAUGCCGCGUGAGUGAUGAAGGCCCUAGGGUUGUAAAGCUCUUUCACCGGUGAAGAUAAUGACGGUAACCGGAGAAGAAGCCCCGGCUAACUUCGUGCCAGCCGCCGCGGUAA
rnacentral:rRNA from 1 species